rnacentral:tRNA from 2 species
GCCCGGUUAGCUCAGUGGCAGAGCGCGUCCUUGGUAAGGACGAGGCCGCGGGUUCAAACCCCGCAUCGGGCU